UACGUAGGGGGCAAGCGUUGUCCGGAAUCAUUGGGCGUAAAGAGCGUGUAGGCGGCCAGAUAAGUCCGCUGUGAAAUCUCGAGGCUCAACUUCGAGCUGUCGGUGGAAACUGUCUGGCUAGAGUCCGGAAGAGGAGAAUGGAAUUCCUGGUGUAGCGGUGAAAUGCGCAGAUAUCAAGAGGAACACCUGAGGUGAAGACGGGUUGCUGGGCUGACACUGACGCUGAGGCGCGAAAGCCAGGGGAGCAAACGGG
rnacentral:rRNA from 1 species